UACAGAGGGUGCGAGCGUUGUCCGGAAUCACUGGGCGUAAAGGGCGCGUGAGGUGGUGGCUUAAGCGUGCGGUGAAAGCUCGGAGCUCAACUCCGAGUCGGCCGUGCGAACUGGGCUCACUGGAGCAUAGUAGAGGCAGGUGGAAUUCCGGGUGUAGCGGUGGAAUGCGUAGAGAUCCGGAAGAACACCAGUGGCGAAGGCGACUCACUGGCCCGAUACUGACGCUGAGGCGCGAAAGCGUGGGGAGCAAACAGG
rnacentral:rRNA from 1 species